rnacentral:SRP_RNA from 1 species
CCGUGCUAGGCGGGGAACUAGCGGUGCCCUGUACCUGCAAUCCGCUCCAGCAGGGCUGAAUCCCCUUCUUAGGUCUUCGUUUUCGAAAGCCGCCGUCACGAGCGACGUUGAGGGCCGGGUCCCGCGCAGCGGCGACUCGUGAACCGUGUCAGGUCCGGAAGGAAGCAGCACUAAGCGAUCUUCGCCGGGUGCCGCGGAAUGGCCUGGUCCGAGCCGCUCGAGAUGGUGGGCGCGGGAGCGAUCGAUCGACGGAGGGUGCACGG